GGCAUGCGCAGUGCGUGAGAGACCGAGGAGCGGGAGCUUUUUCUCCUCCUCGGCUCAAACAAAAGAUAACGAUGAGGCGGCGCGGAGGUCGCGAUGCACGGGAUAUUAGAAGAGGAUUUGCAGAUCGGUAACUGAAACGCAGCAUCACAUCACGAUCUGACAGUCACUCGAUUUGUUAUUCAUUCAUUUUUGACCUUUGAACUUUGGCAGAAUAUUAUCAAGGACGGAUCCUGCUCGAAAGCUCAAAAAAGAACGAAACGUCACACCGGGAUUGUACCGUAACCUGAACGUUGUUGGAUUUUCAACGUGGAAAGCGUGGUGCGCAGCCGAGGGAAUCUGCCCACAUCAGCUGAGCGUGGCCGAAGCUUUGGGCAGCCGUCGGGGCUCAAAUGCAGCCGCCUGUUGGAGAAACCGUGGAAGCGCGGGGACCGUGGGAAGGGGUUUCCGAUCCCCGUCUGCGCUGGAAGUUCACCGAUACGCAGCUGCACCGGGGUGAGGGGUUGGGGGAGGUGAAGGGGCCAUUCGUUUGCUGCGAGUGUGGGAAGCGGUUCACCCGGUGUUCCGACCUGCCCGGAGGGCGCGCAGCGGCGAGUGGCCGUUCUCCUGCUCCGAGGGCAGCGAGCGGCUUACUCUGUCCUGCUGAGGCGCCAGUGGGCCGACGUGGGUGAGAUACAAGUGCCCGGUCUGUGGCUGGCGACGCAAGAGUCCUUGGGAGUCAGUCUGCGACGUCCAAAACACCACCACCUCCAAGUCCCCCUCCAAGUCACUCACCAUCCUGACUUGGAAAUAUAUCGCCAUUCCUUCACUGUUGCUGGUUCGAAAUCCUGGAAUUCCCUCCCUAAUAGCAUUGUGGGUCAACUCACAGCAGGAGGAAUGCAGCGGUUCAAGAAGGCAGCUCACCACCACCUUCUCAAGAGCAACUAGGGAUGGGCAAGAAAUGCUGGCCAGCCAGCAACGCCCACAUCCCACAAAAUGAGUAGAAAAACAAGAGGCUGAAGCCCCUGCUCUGAGUGCGGCAAGAGAUUCGCUUGUCUAUGCCACCUACUGAGCCACUAGCGGGUUCACAGUGAUUCAGUUUCGCCAUCAAUCACAUCCGCUGAUUCACCAUGUCCAUUGACACUUGGUUCUGCUGCUGACAUUAUUAAACUCCUCAGCCUCAAUAUUUUGGACAGAAGUCAAAUAAAUUAGCUCUUUGCUAAA